GUGCUUGCUUCAGCAGCACAUACACAAAAUUGGAAUGAUACAGAGAUUAGCCUGGCUCCUGUGCAAGGGUGACACGCGCAUUUGUCAAGAGGUCUGUGUUUUU
ensembl:snRNA U6 U6 spliceosomal RNA